rnacentral:rRNA from 1 species
CACGUAGGGGGCAAGCGUUGUCCGGAUUUAUUGGGCGUAAAGAGCUCGUAGGCGGUUCGGUAAGUCGGGUGUGAAACCUCCAGGCUCAACCUGGAGACGCCACCCGAUACUGCUGUGACUAGAGUCCGGUAGGGGAGCGUGGAAUUCCUGGUGUAGCGGUGAAAUGCGCAGAUAUCAGGAGGAACACCGAUGGCGAAGGCGGGUCUCUGGGCCGAUACUGACGCUGAGGAGCGAAAAGCGUGGGGAGCGAACAGG